UAACGUGUGGGCAACCUGCCUCAUACAGAGGGAAAAUCAUGUGAAAACGUGACUAAUACCGCAUGUCAUUUGUUGAAGGCAUCUUCGACAAAGAAAAGGAGCAAUCCGGUAUGAGAUGGGCCCGCAUCUGAUUAGCUAGUUGGUGAGAUAACAGCCCACCAAGGCAACGAUCAGUAGCCGACCUGAGAGGGUGAUCGGCCACAUUGGGACUGAGACACGGCCCAAACUCCUACGGGAGGCAGCAGUGGGGAAUAUUGCACAAUGGGGGAAACCCUGAUGCAGCAACGCCGCGUGAAGGAAGACGGUUUUCGGAUUGUAAACUUCUAUCAAUAGGGACGAAGAAAGUGACGGUACCUAAAUAAGAAGCCCCGGCUAACUACGUGCCAGCAGCCGCGGUAAUACGUAGGGGGCAAGCGUUAUCCGGAAUUACUGGGUGUAAAGGGUGAGUAGGCGGCAUGACAAGUAAGAUGUGAAAGCCCGUGGCUUAACCACGGGAUUGCAUUUUAAACUGUUGAGCUAGAGUACAGGAGAGGAAAGCGGAAUUCCCAGUGUAGCGGUGAAAUGCGUAGAUAUUGGGAAGAACACCAGUGGCGAAGGCGGCUUUCUGGACUGAAACUGACGCUGAGGCACGAAAGCGUGGGGAGCAAACAGGAUUAGAUACCCUGGUAGUCCACGCCGUAAACGAUGAGUGCUAGGUG
rnacentral:rRNA from 1 species